rnacentral:lncRNA from 1 species
GGAAAAAAGAAGCAAGCAAUGGCGCACCCAUGGGUGAACUUGUUUUGCAAGGCAGCAUUCGACGACAUGCACCCACCGGGAGCAUGUCACUUGCAAAACAGUCAUCCACUCAGCAGUACUUUGCCCAAGCAAGUCCGAAAUAGCACAAUCAGGCCUGAAAUCGUUCUACCACCACCACCUCCUGAUGAGGACGAACACCCUUGGCCAUAUCUAAAAUAAAUGUUUUAUUUUCUCAGAAUGAAGGAAUCAUCCUACAGGAUGAAAUGUCUGUUAUGUUUACUAAAAGUUCAGGAAAUACUAGCGUUCGAGAACUCGCCGUCGAAUCGAAAAUUUAAUCUAAGAACACAUUGAGGAUCCUAUACCUUAAGUAUUGUGGUGAAGUAUGUAGUCCAAGGGCUCCAAACAUUCACUGUUGUAGAACAAGAACCGUUCAGAGAGUUUGUCCAGGAUCUGCAGCCUAACUCAAAGAUCAUAUCAAGACCCUCUCUGCGCUCCAGGGUUGUUGAUAACCUCCAAGAAAAUGAAGAAGGUGACUGAGGCCAUGACAAGUUGACCACAUCGCCACCACCACUGACUGCUGAUCUGCAAGAAGACGGAAAUUCAUUGGUGUUACAGCCCAUUGGAUAGACCCUGAAAGUCUCAACAGAUGCUCUGCAGCCCUGGCCUGUAAACGGUUGAGAGGCUCGCACACCUUUGUUGGUAGGCGCCAUAAAUUACAUAAAUUCUCAGUUCGAAAUUCAGGGUAAGAUUGUGAGAACAACAGACAUCGGCUUUAACUUCUUGAAAGCUUUCCAAGUUUUUUAAGAAGACGAAAAUAACGAGGCAGUCGAUGUGAUGGUGUUGAAGCAGCUCAGCAAGGACAGGAAGAUGAUGAAGAGGAGGAACAAGAGGAGAGUGAAGAAGUGGAGUUUGUUUAUGUGGCAACAAUCCUGAAUGAAGAUGAUAGUUUUGAGGACCAGCUGCCGAAGCACCAGCGUUGUGUUAGACACCUACUCAACUUAGUAUCUACAUUCGAUGCCCUGAAAGCAUACAAAAAAAGUGUCCUGUUCAAUAUUUGGCAAGUGCCAAGCACUUUGGAACAAAUGAGGAAGAUCCACACUUGCAGCCGAAACGGUUGAAGAUGCUUGGGACCUCCAGAUGCUGCGCCCGAAUGCUACAAGGUGAAACUCAUGGUUCAUGGCUGUAGAAAGGCUCUUGUGGAUCAUCAAAGACAAAGAGAGGCUGCCGUCAGAGUUCUCUGCACAGACAUCGAGGUUUGAAUACCUAGUCAUCAUGCUGAUCAGGGUGAAAUUCAAUGGUGAACAAAAAUAUAUCAAGAUAAUUGACCUGACACUUGAAAAUCUUUUGAUUGGAGCUUUCCUGAAAUUUGAGGCCCACUUACUAGUUUAUCAGAGGCACAGCUGUAUGAUGGGUCUGGAACUGAAGUUGAUGGAAUCUUCCCUGAUGAGUCCUGCCUCUGCCAGUGCUGUGAUGGGUGGUUCAGACCGUGAGUCGGAUGAUACAAUAAUUUUGAGCGAGGAUGGAAGCCCCUCACGAAAGCCUCAAAGAUCUGAUGACGAAGCAAAAAAUCUAAUAGAGGGCAUACUGAAGAAAAAGCCUGGUGGAGAGGUGGUCAUCAAGGAAUACUCCAAAACUAACGGCCUGACUGACUGCACCAGACGAAAGAUGAUCAACAUUCUUGUUUUGGAGAUGACAGAUUCACGGACAUCACCAUCGCGCAGUGUGAGAGAAACGUUUCCACAAGGCAUUGUCUCCUUGUUCCCAUACCUGAAGGAUCCCUACACCACAAAUUGAUAUGAACAUUAUUACCACCCUACUAGUGGAGGAGGGUACCUCUCGUAUAGAAUCAAAACCGUUCAGAGGAAUUUGGCUUCAUCUGAGAAACGGCCCACUCAACUAUACUAUGGAUUGCCAACUGCUGAGAGGGAGUCCAGUCCAUCCACUUUGGCUACUCUGAGUGAAGACUGGUGCAGAGAGACCGUUUCUCUUAUGAAGCAUUCUUCUGAUGAAGAAACAGUCAAACAGAAGAUGAAAUUGACCUUUGGGUACAGGAAGAAGAUGACCCACGACCUGAGUAAAUGCUCCACCAUUCUAACCAAAUUUCCACGCUUUCUGGAUGUGAAGGGCUUAGUAAGACUUAAGUUGUAUACAUUUUGUUGAAUUUCCAGAUGCCAUUUGAGGUUGGCCAGUAAAUUUAAACAAAAACAACACUUCCGUAAUAGUAGCUCAAUUAAUGUGUAGGCUGGGGCUUUACUCAAACUCUGUUUUGGAGGUUCAAAUGGAAUGUUUUAUGAGAAAGAAAUGUACUUGCACAAAACAAAUGUUUUGUUCUUUGUCUUAUUUGUUUCAUGAUUGAACAGAUUUUUGUGGUGCUGUUUUUUGAGGGAACAUCAGCCACGUUUUUGGAGAGGUGGCCAACUAUAAUCAAGCAUGAAUGCUGAUGGUUAGAUGAUCAUAAUUUGUCAUUUACACUACCGUUCAAAGGUUUGGGGUCACUUAGAAAUGUCCUUGUUUUUGAAAGAAAAGCUUAUUUUUUUUGUCCAUUAAAAUAACAUCAAAUUGAUCAGAAAUACAUUGUAGACGUUGUUAAUGUUGUAAAUUGCUAUUGUAGCUGGAAAAGGCUGAUUUUUAUUGGAAUAUCUACAUACAGAGGCACAUUAUCACCAACCAUCACUCCUGUGUUCGAUUACAGGCUCAAAAUGGCCAGAAACAAAGACCUUCCUUCUGAAACUCAUCGGUCUAUUCUUGUUCUGAGAAAUGAAGGCUACUCCAUGCGAGAAAUUGCCAAGAAACUGAAGAUCUCGUACAAAGCUGUGUACUACUCCCUGCAGAGAACAGCACAAACUGGCUCUAACCAGAAUAGAAAGAGGAGUGGGAGGCCCCGGUGCACAACUGAGCAAGAGGACAAGUACAUUACAGUGUCUAGUUUGUGAAACAGACACUUAACAAGUCCUCAACUGGCAGCUUUAUUAAAUAGUACCCGCAAAACACCAGUCUCAAUGUCAACAGUGAAGAGGCGACCCCAGAAUGCUGGCCUUCUAGGCAGAGUUCCUCUGUCCAGUGUCUGUGUUCUUUUGCCCAUCUUAAUCUUUUCUUUUUGUUGGCCAGUCUGGGAUAUGGCAUUUUCUUUGCAACUCUUCCUAGAAGGCCAGCAUCCUUCAUUAACCUGUUGAGGGUAGGGGGCAGUAUUUGCACGGCCGGAUAAAAAACGUACCCGAUUUAAUCUGGUUAUUACUACUGCCCAGAAACUAGAAUAUGCAUAUAAUUAUUGGCUUUGGAUAGAAAACACCCUAAAGUUUCUAAAACUGUUUGAAUGGUGUCUGUGAGUAUAACAGAACUCAUAUGGCAGGCAAAAACCUGAGAAGAUUCUGUACAGGAAGUGCCCUCUCUGACCAUUCCUUGGGCUUCUUGACUCUUUUUAUUGAAAACUUAGGAUCUUUGCUGUAACGUGACACUUCCUACGGCUCCCAUAGGCUCUCAGAACCCAGGAAAAACCUGAAUGACGUCUUUGCAGCCCCUGGCUGAAAAACAUUAGCGCCUUUGGUAAGUAGUCUAUCAGAGGACAAUGAGACUGAGGCGCGUGCACGAGGUGACCCCAUGUUUUUAUUUUCUCUCUCUUUGUACUAAAACACGGUUUCCCGGUUGGAAUAUUAUCGCUUUUUUACGAGAAAAAUGGCAUAAAAAUUGAUUUUAAACAGCGGUUGACAUGCUUCGAAGUACGGUAAUGGAAUAUUUAGAAUUUUUUUGUCACGAAACGCGUCGGGCGCAUCACCUUUCGGAUAGUGUCUUGAACGCACGAACAAAACGCCACUAUUUGGAUAUAACUAUGGAUUAUUUUGAACCAAACCAACAUUUGUUAUUGAAGUAGAAGUCCUGGGAGUGCAUUCUGAUGAAGAACAGCAAAGGUAAUAACAUAUUUCUUAUAGUAAAUCUGACUUUGGUGAGGGCUAAACUUGGUGGGUGUCUAAAUAGCUAGCCCUGUGAUGCCGGGCUAUCUACUUAGAAUAUUGCAAAAUGUGCUUUCACCGAAAAGCUAUUUUAAAAUCGGACAUAGCGAGUGCAUAGAGGAGUUCUGUAUCUAUAAUUCUUAAAAUAAUUGUAUGUUUUUUGUGAACGUUUAUCGUGAGUAAUUUUGUAAAUUCACUGGAAGUUUGCGGGGGGAGGUAUGCUAGUUCUGAACGUCACAUGCUAAUGUAAAAAGCUGGUUUUUGAUAUAAAUAUGAACUUGAUUGAACAAAACAUGCAUGUAUUGUAUAACAUAAUGUCCUAGGAUUGUCAUCUGAUGAAGAUCAUCAAAGGUUAGUGCUGCAUUUAGCUGUGGUUUGGGUUUAUGUGACAUGCUAGCUUGAAAAAUGUGUGUCUGAUUAUUUCUGGCUGGGUACUCUGCUGACAUAAUCUAAUGUUUUGCUUUCGUUGUAAAGCCUUUUUGAAAUCGGACAGUGUGGUUAGAUUAACGAGAGUCUUGUCUUUAAAAUUGUGUAAAAUAGUCAUAUGUUUGAGAAAUUGAAGUAAUAGCAUUUCUAAGGUAUUUGAAUAACGCGCCACGGGAUUCCACUGGCUGUUACAUAGGUGGGACGAAAUCGUCCCACUGGCCCUAGAGAGGUUAAAGCAUAAUUAUAUUUUGUCUGUAAGUACUUUUAUUGCUUCUUUAAUCAGAACAACAGUUUUCAGCUGUGCAAACAUAAUUGCAAAAGGGUUUUCUAAUGAUCAAUUAGCCUGCUAAACUUGGAUUAGCUAACACAACGUGCCAUUGGAGCACAGGAGUGAUGGUUGCUGAUAAUGGGCCUCUGUACGCCUAUGUAGAUAUUCCAUUAAAAUAUCUGCUGUUUUCAUCUACAAUAGUCAUUUACAACAGUAACAAUGUCUACACUGUAUUUUUCAUCAAUUUGAUGUUAUUUAAAAAAAAAAAAAAUUUCUUUCAAAAACAAGAUUUCUAAGUUACCCCAAAUUUCAAAUCAAAUGAAAUGUAUUUGUCACAUACACAUGGUUAGCAAGUGAAAUUGCAGAGCGCAAAAUUCAAAAUACAAAAAUCAUAAUAUUAAACAUUCAUGAAAAUACAAGUGUCAUACAUCAUUUAAAAUCUUAACUUCUUGUUAAUCCAGCCGCUUUGUCAGAUUUCAAAAAGGCUUUACGGCGAAAGCAUACUAUGCGAUUAUCUGAGGACAGCGCCCCGUGUACAAAAGCAUUAAAAACAUUUUCCAAACCAGCAGAGGCAUCACGAAAGUCAGAAAUAGCGAUAAAAUAAAUCACUUACCUUUCAAGAUCAACCUCUGUUUUCAAUCCCAAGGGUCCCAGCUACAUAACAAAUGGUCGUUUUGUUUGAUAAAGUCCUUCUUUAUAUCCCAAAAAGGUCAGUUUAUUUGGCGCACUUGAUUCAGUAAUCCACCUGUUCCCCUCGUUCAAAAUGCAUACAAAGAAUCCCAAAAGUUACCAAUAAACUUCGUCCAAACAAGUCAAACAACAUUUCUAAUCAAUCCUCAGUUACCCUAAUAUGUAAAUAAACGAUAAAAUUUAAGACGGAGAAUAGUAUGUUCAUUACCGGAGAUAAAUAAUGAAGUGCGUGCCCUCAUCCACACGCGCCAAAAGACGACAGUCAAAAUGAGAGCCACCUAGAAAAACUACAAAUUCUAGCUCAUUUUUCAAAAAACAAGCCUGAAACCCUUUCUAAAGACAUCUAGUGGAAGCCAUAGGAACUGCAAUCUGGGAGGAUUUCCUUUUAUUUUCCCAUAGACAGCCAUUUCAACGGGUGGUGACCUCAAAAAGAUUAUCCUCGGGUUUUCACCUGCCUUAUCAGUUCUGUUGUACUCACAGACAUUAUGUUAACAGUUUUAGAAACUUCAGAGUGUGUUCUAUCCAAAACUACCAAUUAUAUGCAUAUCCUAGCUUCUGGGCCUGAGUAACAGGCAGUUUACUUUGGGCACCUCAGUCAUCCGAACUUCCGAAUAUUGCCCCCUAUAGUAAAGUCAUGACUGUGGCGAUGUCCUCUUAAUCCUACAGUGAGGUUGUGUGCAGAUCUGUACAUGUACUUUUGAUGAGCUCAUCAUCUACAUAGUAUUUUUCAAUAUAUAUGGUUCUAUUAUAGGAGGUGUUUUCUAAAGCAAAGGGACUGAUUGUAAGUGCUUAUGUUUACUGGCUAUAUUCCUUCAUUAAACCAUAAGUGUUGCCUAAUUGAGAAUCCACCUUUUUUUAUCUGAGCACUUCUUUCAUCUGUAAGACUAACU